rnacentral:rRNA from 1 species
AAUAGCAUAUCAUAGCGGAGGAAAAGAAACCAACAGGGAUUGCCUCAGUAACGGCGAGUGAAGCGGCAACAGCUCAAAUUUGAAAUCUGGCUCUUUCAGGGUCCGAGUUGUAAUUUGUAGAGGAUGUUUCGGGUGUGGCUCCGGUCUAAGUUCCUUGGAACAGGACGUCAUAGAGGGUGAGAAUCCCGUAUGUGACUGGUAGCCUAUGCCCAUGUGAAACUCCUUCGACGAGUCGAGUUGUUUGGGAAUGCAGCUCAAAAUGGGUGGUAAAUUUCAUCUAAAGCUAAAUAUUGGCCAGAGACCGAUAGCGCACAAGUAGAGUGAUCGAAAGAUGAAAAGCACUUUGGAAAGAGAGUUAAACAGUACGUGAAAUUGUUGAAAGGGAAGCGCUUGCAACCAGACUUGCAUGUAGCUGAUCAACCGGUGUUCUCACCGGUGCACUCAGUUGCGUUCAGGCCAGCAUCGGUUUCGACGGUUGGAUAAAGGCCUUGGGAAUGUAGCUCCUUUCGGGGAGUGUUAUAGCCCAGGGUGCAAUGCAGCCUGUCGGGACCGAGGACCGCGCUUCGGCUAGGAUGCUGGCGUAAUGGUUGUAAGCGACCCGUCUUGAAACACGGACCAAGGAGUCUAACAUCUAUGCGAGUGUUUGGGUGUCAAACCCAUACGCGUAAUGAAAGUGAACGGAGGUGAGAACCCUUAAGGGUGCAUCAUCGACCGAUCCUGAUGUCUUCGGAUGGAUUUGAGUAAGAGCAUAGCUGUUGGGACCCGAAAGAUGGUGAACUAUGCCUGAAUAGGGUGAAGCCAGAGGAAACUCUGGUGGAGGCUCGCAGCGGUUCUGACGUGCAAAUCGAUCGUCAAAUUUGGGUAUAGGGGCGAAAGACUAAUCGAACCAUCUAGUAGCUGUUCCUGCCGAG